rnacentral:rRNA from 1 species
AUGGCUCAAGAUAAUACUAAAUUGUGUGACUUCACCAAUACCAACAGCAAUGAUUUUAUUAGCACUCCGAUUGCUCCACUUACCGAUGCUGAAUCUUGUGAAAUUAAUGCUGCUUUGCUGAAUCUUGUCAUGAAAGAUCCGUUCUCCGGCCUUCCUAGUGACGAUGCCGCUACCCAUCUAAAUAGCUUCGUUGAUUUGUGUGACAUGCAAAAUAAGAAAUAUGUGGAUAAUGAUAUUGUUAAAUUGAAGCUAUUUCCUUUUUCGCUUAGAUAUCGUGCUAAAGCUUGGUUUUCGUCGUUGCCUAAAUAUAGUAUUGAUUCAUGGAACACGUGCAAAGAUGCUUUUAUCUCUAAGUAUUUUCCUCCUGCUAGGGUCAUCUCUCUUAGAAAUGAUAUUAUGAAUUUUAAGCAACUUGAUCAUGAACAUGUUGCACAAGCUUGGGAGAGAAUGAAAUUAAUGAUACGUAAUUGCCCUACUCAUGGUUUAAAUUUGUGGAUGAUUGUUCAAAAAAUUUAUGUCGGAUUGAAUUUUGCUUCUAGAAAUCUUUUAAAUUCGGCUGCGGGAGGCACUUUUAUGGAAAUCACUUUAGGAGAAGCUACUAAACUCCUAGAUAAUAUUAUGGUUAAUUAUUCUCAAUGGCAUACUGAAAGAUUUACUAAUAAAAAGGUGCAUGCGAUAGAAGAUAUUAAUGUUUUGAGUGGAAAGAUGGAUGAACUUAUGACAUUAUUUGCUAAUAAGAGUGUUUAUUCUGAUCCUAAUGAUAUGCCCUUGUCUACUUUAAUUGAGAAUAAUAAUGAAUAUAUGGAUGGGAAUUUUGUUGGUAGGAACAAUUUUGGUAAUAACGCGUAUAGAGGAAAUUUCAACCCUAGGCCUUAUCCUAGUAAUCCCUCUAAUAAUUAUGGUAAUUCCUACAACAAUUCUUAUGGACAUUAUAAUAAGAUUCCCUCUGAUUUUGAAUCUAAUAUUAAAGAAUUUAUUACUUCGCAAAAGAAUUUUAAUGCUAUGGUUGAAGAAAAAUUGCUUAAGAUUGAUGAUUUGGCUAGGAAUGUUGAUAUAAUUGCUCUUGAUGUUGAUUCUUUGAAACUUAGAUCUAUCCCACCUUAG